rnacentral:rRNA from 1 species
GUGUCAGCAGCCGCGGUAAUACGGAGGAUGCGAGCGUUAUCCGGAUUCAUUGGGUUUAAAGGGUGCGUAGGCGGACUAAUAAGUCAGUGGUGAAAUCCUGCAGCUUAACUGCAGAACUGCCAUUGAUACUGUUAGUCUUGAGUUUGGUUAAGGUAGGCGGAAUGUGUAAUGUAGCGGUGAAAUGCUUAGAUAUUACACAGAACACCAAUUGCGUAGGCAGCUUACUGGACCGACACUGACGCUGAGGCACGAAAGCGUGGGGAUCGAACAGGAUUAGAAACCCCGGUAGUCC